rnacentral:rRNA from 1 species
CAUGAAGUUUUGCAAAAUGCAAGACCACAAUUUCAGAUGCUAAGCCUGGUCAAGUCAGAUUAGUACUUGGAUGGGAGACCAUCAGAGAAUACUAGGGAACUUCAGGA